rnacentral:lncRNA from 1 species
AUGAGCCUGGGGGACAUUACAUUAAGUGAAAUAAGCCAGGAACAGAAAAUUAAAUAAUGCAUAUUCUCAUUCAUAUAUGGAAGCUAAACAAGUUGAUCUCAAAGAAGUAGAGAGUAGAAUAGUGGUUACUAGAGGCUGGGAAAGGUGGAGGGGAGAGAGAGUAGGAAAGGAUUGGUUAAAGGAUACCAAAUGACAGCUAGAUGGGAGGAAUGAGUUCUAGUGUUCUAUAGCACUGUAGGGUGACUACAGUCAACAAUAAUUUAUUAUGUAGAAGAGAGGAGUUGGAAUGUUCCCAACACAAAAAAAUGAUAAAUGUUGAGAUGAAUAAUAUGUGAAUUACCCUGAUUAGAUCACCGUACAUUGUAAGUAUUGAAACUCACUAUGUGCCCCAUAAAUAUGUACAAGUAUUAUGUGUCUAUUUAAAAAUUUUUAAUUAAAAAUAAAUAGUGGAUGGAGACUCAUGAAAAGUUUCAAAUUGGUGGAAACACAUUGUCCAGAAGUGGCUGAGGCAUGUCCAGCGCAGACAAGAAAGGCAGGAAGGCAGGUCGGAGGCUCAGACUCUCCAGGCUGAGUUUGUGAAAGAGUUAGAAUAAGAUCUAUCUUCAUGAUGCUUUUGAAGCUACUUGGUUUUAAUUCUAGGAUUCAAUGAGAGAUGUACGAGAUUAGAUUUGAUGUAAGGAAAGACUUGGCAUCUGUCCUACCCUUGUGGUUAAGGAGUCCAAGUGGAAACUUUCCAUGAUAUUCCAGUAGAUCUCCCAGGGUAGGCCCUCCCAAGUGGCAUGAGGAAAUAUGCCCUCAGUUUUAGGGCAAAAAUUGGUGAUUCCUAGCUUUUUAUGAUUGCAGACCCUUCUGGAAAUCUGGUGUAUUUUUGAUGGCUGCUUUUGUGCCACAAGGGCAGAGUUAAGUAGUUGUGACAGAAAAUCGAUGCUAUCUUCUCUUUCAGGAAAAACAUGCUGACCCCUGGUGUGGAUGGCUGAGUUUUUCGUGUCUUACAAGAAUGUCAGCUCCAAGAGGCAAACCUGUUUUGUUCACUACCAUAUCCCCACAGCCUCCGCCAGCAUCAGCCAUGGAGACAGAGCCCAGUCCUUUUUGGGGCACAGAUGUGAAGCAUAAUGGGGACCAGGAUGGCCCAUGGCACUGAGACUGUGUGCUAACCCCUGUGUUGCUACUCAGAGUGCCCUGCCAGAAGGACAGUAGUGAUGAAAAGCCAUGCAUUUUUCAUAUGUGAACAGAAGGCAAGAAGUUCCCGGAUACCAGCCUCCAUGCUGCUUUUAAAGCCCUCUGUCUCCAGGGAUGACAGCCUCCUGCCCUCUUUGGAAGCUGUUGAGUUACCAUCCAGCUACCUAAUUGUCCAUAAAGAGGAAGUCCUUCACUCUCCUGAGAAACAUGCACGUGAGGACUGGGGAACCAACGCAUGAAUGCAGGUGACUGCUACCUCCUCCAGAGCCCUUCUGACAUGGUCACCCAAUUCAAGCAUGUACAGAGGACAUUCAUCAAUUCAAAUGUCCACUGGAGAAAAACCUAUGGCCUCCUGGCCAGCGGCUUUCCUCCUUUCCUCAGCCCAUUAACCCACUCAAGGCUUUCUAUGCUUUAAAAACAAAUGAAUGAACAAACACCAUGAAAUGCUCCUUCCCUUCAUCCUGCGUCCAUCUAGCAACUGCCCCGCCUCCCUUCCCCUUCAGAGCCAAACUUCUAACAAAAGAGUCUGCACUGGUCCUGGCCCGUGCUGUUUCCUCACUGCCCAUUUCUGUCUCUCUCCUGGGACCAGCACUCACCCCCACCACUUCCCGGAACUGCUUUUGCACUGAGGUUUCAACCAUCGCCCAUUUGCCCGUGAUUCUCAAAUCUUCCCCGUAGUCUCAAACUCUCUCCUCACCUCUCAUCCUACAUUU